GAACGGGUGAGUAAUAUAUCGGAACGUACCCGGCAAUGGGGGAUAGCUCGGCGAAAGCCGGAUUAAUACCGCAUAUGCCCUGAGGGGGAAAGUGGGGGACCGUAAGGCCUCACGUUGUCGGAGCGGCCGAUAUCAGAUUAGCUAGUUGGUGGGGUAAAGGCCUACCAAGGCGACGAUCUGUAGCGGGUCUGAGAGGAUGAUCCGCCACACUGGGACUGAGACACGGCCCAGACUCCUACGGGAGGCAGCAGUGGGGAAUUUUGGACAAUGGGGGAAACCCUGAUCCAGCCAUGCCGCGUGAGUGAAGAAGGCCUUCGGGUUGUAAAGCUCUUUCGGACGGAAAGAAAUCCUAUUCACUAAUACUGAGUGGGGAUGACGGUACCGUAAGAAGAAGCGCCGGCUAA
rnacentral:rRNA from 1 species